GAUGAACGCUGGCGGCGUGCCUAAUACAUGCAAGUCGAGCGAACAGACGAGGCGCUUGCUCCUCUGACGUUAGCGGCGGACGGGUGAGUAACACGUGGAUAACCUACCUAUCAGACUGGGAUAACUUCGGGAAACCGGAGCUAAUACCGGAUAAUAUAUUGAACCGCAUGGUUCAAUAGUGAAAGACGGUUUUGCUGUCACUUAUAGAUGGAUCCGCGCCGCAUUAGCUAGUUGGUAAGGUAACGGCUUACCAAGGCAACGAUGCGUAGCCGACCUGAGAGGGUGAUCGGCCACACUGGAACGGAGACACGGUCCAGACGCCUACGGGAGGCAGCAGUAGGGAAUCUUCCGCAAUGGGCGAAAGCCUGACGGAGCAACGCCGCGUGAGUGAUGAAGGUCUUCGGAGCGUAAAACUCUGUUAUUAGGGAAGAACAAAUGUGUAAGUAACUAUGCACGUCUUGACGGUACCUAAUCAGAAAGCCACGGCUAACUACGUG
rnacentral:rRNA from 1 species